rnacentral:misc_RNA from 1 species
AGCAGCCGCGGUAAUUCCAGCUCCAAUAGCGUAUAUUAAAGUUGUUGCAGUUAAAAGCUCGUAGUUGAAUUUCGGGAUCAAUAUGUUGGUCGUGCCUCGGUACGUACUAGCAUAUUGGUUUCUCCUUUCUGAAGAACCAUGAUGUCAUUUAUUUGGUGUCGUGGGGAAUCAGGACUGUUACUUUGAAAAAAUUAGAGUGUUUAAAGCAGGCUCACGCUUGAAUACAUUAGCAUGGAAUAAUGAAAUAGGACGUUUGAUUCUAUUUUGUUGGUUUCUAGGAUCGACGUAAUGAUUAAUAGGGAUAGUUGGGGGCAUUAGUAUUCAAUUGUCAGAGGUGAAAUUCUUGGAUUUAUUGAAGACUAACUACUGCGAAAGCAUUUGCCAAGGAUGUUUUCAUUAAUCAAGAACGAAAGUUAGGGGAUCGAAGACGAUCAGAUACCGUCGUAGUCUUAACCAUAAACUAUGCCGACUA